rnacentral:rRNA from 1 species
GACGAACGCUGGCGGCGCGCUUAAUACAUGCAAGUCGAACGUGAAGCCCGGGCUUGCCCGGGUGGAAAGUGGCGAACGGGUGAGUAACACGUGAGAAACCUGCCUCGGAGACUGGGAUAACCAAUGGAAACGUUGGCUAAUACCGGAUGCCUUCAUCUGGCCGCAUGGCCUAAUGAAGAAAUGGAAUCCGCUCCGAGAUGGUCUCGCGGCCUAUCAGCUUGUUGGUGAGGUAACGGCUCACCAAGGCUUCGACGGGUAGUUGGUCUGAGAGGACGACCAACCACACUGGGACUGAGACACGGCCCAGACUCCUACGGGAGGCAGCAGUAGGGAAUCUUGCUCAAUGGGCGAAAGCCUGAAGCAGCGACGCCGCGUGCGGGAUGAA